AGUGAACGCUGGCGGUAGGCCUAACACAUGCAAGUCGAACGGCAGCACAGUAAGAGCUUGCUCUUACGGGUGGCGAGUGGCGGACGGGUGAGGAAUACAUCGGAAUCUACUUUUUCGUGGGGGAUAACGUAGGGAAACUUACGCUAAUACCGCAUACGACCUACGGGUGAAAGCAGGGGAUCUUCGGACCUUGCGCGAUUGAAUGAGCCGAUGUCGGAUUAGCUAGUUGGCGGGGUAAAGGCCCACCAAGGCGACGAUCCGUAGCUGGUCUGAGAGGAUGAUCAGCCACACUGGAACUGAGACACGGUCCAGACUCCUACGGGAGGCAGCAGUGGGGAAUAUUGGACAAUGGGCGCAAGCCUGAUCCAGCCAUACCGCGUGGGUGAAGAAGGCCUUCGGGUUGUAAAGCCCCUUUGUUGGGAAAGAAAAGCAGCAGGUUAAGACCCCGCUGUUCGGACGGUACCCAAAGAAUAAGCACCGGCUAACUGCGG
rnacentral:rRNA from 1 species